AAUCAACGCUGGCGGCGUGCCUCAGACAUGCAAGUCGAACGAUUAAACUUUCCUUCGGGAAAGAUAUAAAGUGGCGCACGGGUGAGUAACACGUAAGUAAUCUACCUUUGAGUGGGGAAUAACGUUCGGAAACGGACGCUAAUACCGCAUAAUGCAGCGGCACCUAAUGGUGACAGUUGUUAAAGGAGCAAUCCGCUUAAAGAGGAGCUUGCGGCAGAUUAGCUAGUUGGUAAGGUAACGGCUACCAAGGCACGAUCUGUAACCGGUCUAAGAGGACGGUCGGUCACACUGACACUGGAUAACGGGUCAGACUCCUACGGGAGGCAGCAGUCGGGAAUUUUGGGCAAUGGGCGAAAGCCUGACCCAGCAACGCCGCGUGAAGGAUGAAGUAUUUCGGUA
rnacentral:rRNA from 1 species